rnacentral:rRNA from 1 species
GGGCGUAAGCGCGCGUAGGCGGAUUGGAAAGUUGGGGGUGAAAUCCCGGGGCUCAACCCCGGAACUGCCUCCAAAACUAUCAGUCUAGAGGUCGAGAGAGGUGAGUGGAAUUCCGAGUGUAGAGGUGAAAUUCGUAGAUAUUCGGAGGAACACCAGUGGCGAAGGCGGCUCACUGGCUCGAUACUGACGCUGAGGUGCGAAAGCGUGGGGAGCAAACAGGAUUAGAUACC